rnacentral:lncRNA from 1 species
CUGAUCUAAACUAAUCAGCCCCAAAUUAACACCAUGGCUUCCCCUAACAACCCUUGUUAUGGAUCUGAAGUUAGUUUAGUUCGAAUCAGCUUUGAACUUCUCGAAUCUUCUUUUGAAGAUUCGGACCAAACAAGAACAAACUCAGAUUCGUUUCAAAUUAACACCAAAUGACCCCUAGGCUACCCUCACCCUUGUAUCAUGUUUGGUUCCCUUCGAAUCUGCCCUGAAAUGUUCGGAUUUAAGAUCCAAGAACCUGAAACCCUAAAAAAUACCAAACUUUUGGAUUUCGUGCAUAUUAAAUGAAGAUUGAGGUUUAAUCGACCUUAGUCGAAGUAUUUUCAGUGGAAAAUACUUCGACUAAGGUCAGUUUGAUUUCAAACAAAAAAUCCGAAGUCCAAGUUGAGUUCGAGUCGGAAUAAAAUUGAAGAUUCAAAGGUAUUUUUUCUAUUUAUUUUGUGUAUUAUACAUGUAUUUUUGUGUUUGUUUUAGUCUGUGUAAUUUUCCCAUCUUUUAUUAUCAUACUGUCUCCUACCCGUCUACCUGAUUUUAAACGUGAAUUGUUUCUGUAAUUUUCCCAUCUUUUAUUAUCAUACUGUCUCCUACCCGUCUACCUGAUUUUAAACGUGAAUUGUUUCUGUUGAUUGUGCUUAGUUACAAUGUAUGUAAUCGACUCGAUCAAGUUCGUCGAUUAGUUAUAUUAUGAAUU